UUUCGCUUGCUUGUUAUUUUUCAGUGAAUGCUUGGAAAAACAAGUUAGAUCUUUUAAAAGGCUUUUUACCACCACAUUCACCACAAAGACACCAGAGCUGCAUCACGUGGAAUGUGUUUGCUGGGCUGUUGUGGAAACAGAAUGAAUGCCACCUGUAUUGUGUGGGGGAUAUUUUGGCUGAUCAUACUGUUCUUCAUUGGAUGGCCCAUAAGCAUGUUCUUAGGAGGAUUGUAUGGAUUCUUUGCUCCACUUGCUACUUUGAUAGGACUAGAUGACUUCAGUGAAGCUUUUAUGAAGGGAGUAAAUUUGGGGAGAGAGUGUGCUAAAAAUGUACACACUGGAAAGCCUUUCUGUUAACAGCGAAGACCACCACCAUAAGCAAGCAUUCUUCUUUGUCCUGUGGCAUAUUUUACAACUGUUAAGUAUAUUCAGAAUGUUCCCAUUUCUAUCCAAAUGCUACAUGUGUUUUCAAGAGCAUGUAAUUAACAUUUGGCACUCUGUAUAUAAGUAAACAUAGCCAAAUUUUUAUUGGAGGCUGCAGUUCCUAUUUAUGUUGCAUGUACCUCUAAGUUAAUAUAUUGAAAUCAGAGAGAAUCUGAGUAACAGCCCAAAUUUUAGCUUUAUCUCUGUGUCACACCAGACUGAAGAUACAAGAAUUUGGAACCAACUUAUUUGCUGUGUAAGAAUCUUUACUGAAUCUUAGAGAAGCAGUCUGAUGAGAUAAAUUGGAUUUUUGAUGUUAACUAAGCAAAUUAUCCAGUUUAGAUAUUUGUCACUCAUUAAGUUCAUGUUCCAUAACUACACGCAGUUACUAAUGUGUAAACAAUAUGUUUUAAUAGCUUCACUGUUCAUUAUAUUUUAGUAUGUUUUAGAAAGCAUGAUGUUUGUAUGGGUUCUUAAUAAAUGUAAUCGUUCAGGU